GACACUAGCGGGGUAAUUGGGGGAUUUCACUCUUCCUUUAUGGAUGAUGAAUGCUUCAGUCAGAUGAGACAUCAACCGUCGCCCCAUUCAAUCCAAUCGAUUUUAUAGAUCAAGCAUAUCGGUCGUACAAGAUUAACGUGGAUGACAAUGGUGUUCGGUGGUUGAAGCACGCAUCGCGACGCAGACGGUCGGGACAGACGACGGCGAUGAAGAGGUUCUAGGGUUCCUAUCGAAGGAUCAUGGAUGUGAUUAUACCGUUAAUUGUGUGAACUAUUGUGUAAAUACGACUGAAAUGUCUCAACACCUGAUUGUUGGCGAUCUCUCGACACCUGCACCCUAUACUGGUACGUUAAACUCUCUAACUACAAGGUAAUAUUUGUUUUUCUUGAUUAUUUUGGGGUUUGUAUCAGUUAUAUUGAUAGAGUACUUAAUACUUGAUAAUUUAUGUUGAAAUUUUCAGAUGAAAUUCAACAACCAGAAACCCUAACCAUGAACACAAAGCUCUUAGACCUUGAUCCUGAUCAAACAGUAGAAGAAUCAGAGCAAAUUCUUCCUAUUUUCG